UACGGUCAAAUCACUCUGAAACACCAGUUCUCGUGCGAUCACAGAAGUUAAGCAACUUCGGACCUGGUCAGUACCUGGAUGACCGCUUGGGAAUACCGAGUUCUGUAA